UCCCUGGUGAUCCAGUGGUUAGGACUCAGUGCUUUCAUUGCUGGGGCCCAGGGUUCAAUCCCUGGUCAGGAAA
rfam:Ovis aries breed Texel chromosome 6, whole genome shotgun sequence.